UACGGAGGAUUCGAGCGUUAUCCGGAUUUAUUGGGUUUAAAGGGUGCGUAGGCGGAGUGGUAAGUCAGCUGUGAAAGUUUACAGCUCAACCGUAGAAUUGCAGUUGAUACUGUUGGUCUUGAGUAUGCAUGAGGUCAGCGGAAUUUGAGGUGUAGCGGUGAAAUGCUUAGAUAUCACAAAGAACUCCAAUUGCGAAGGCAGCUCACUGGGGUAUAACUGACGCUGAUGCACGAAAGUGUGGGGAUCAAACAGG
rnacentral:rRNA from 1 species